GAUGAAGAACGUAGCGAAAUGCGAUAAGUAAUGUGAAUUGCAGAAUUCCGUGAAUCAUCGAAUCUUUGAACGCACAUUGCGCCCCCUGGCAUUCCGGGGGGCAUGCCUGUCCGAGCGUCAUUUCUGCCCUCAAGCACGGCUUGUGUGUUGGGUGUGGUCCCCCCGGGGACCUGCCCGAAAGGCAGCGGCGACGUCCGUCUGGUCCUCGAGCGUAUGGGGCUCUGUCACUCGCUCGGGAAGGACCUGCGGGGGUUGGUCACCACUAUAUUUUACCACGGUUGACCUCGGAUCAGGUAGGAGUUACCCGCUGAACUUAAGCAUAUCAAUAAGCGGAGGA
rnacentral:misc_RNA from 1 species